rnacentral:rRNA from 1 species
AACGAACGCUGGCGGCAUGCCUAACACAUGCAAGUCGAACGAGACCUUCGGGUCUAGUGGCGCACGGGUGCGUAACGCGUGGGAACCUGCCCUUAGGUUCGGAAUAACUCCCCGAAAGGGGUGCUAAUACCGGAUAAUGUCUUCGGACCAAAGAUUUAUCGCCUUUGGAUGGGCCCGCGUUGGAUUAGCUAGUUGGUAGGGUAAAAGCCUACCAAGGCGACGAUCCAUGGCUGGUCUGAGAGGAUGAUCAGCCACACUGGGACUGAGACACGGCCCAGACUCCUACGGGAGGCAGCAGUGGGGAAUAUUGGACAAUGGGCGAAAGCCUGAUACAGCAAUGCCGCGUGAGUGAUGAAGGCCUUAGGGUUGUAAAGCUCUUUUACCCGAGAUGAUAAUGACAGUACCGGGAGAAUAAGCACCGGCUAACUCCGUG